AACGAACGCUGGCGGCAGGCUUAACACAUGCAAGUCGAGCGCCCCGCAAGGGGAGCGGCAGGCGGGUGAGUAACGCGUGGGAAUCUACCCAUCUCUACGGAAUAACGCAUGGAAACGUGUGCUAAUACCGUAUACGUCCUUCGGGAGAAAGAUUUAUCGGAGAUGGAUGAGCCCGCGUUGGAUUAGCUAGUUGGUGGGGUAAAGGCCUACCAAGGCGACGAUCCAUGGCUGGUCUGAGAGGAUGAUCAGCCACACUGGGACUGAGACACGGCCCAGACUCCUACGGGAGGCAGCAGUGGGGAAUAUUGGACAAUGGGCGCAAGCCUGAUCCAGCCAUGCCGCGUGAGUGAUGAAGGCCCUAGGGUUGUAAGGCUCUUUCACCGGUGAAGAUAAUGACGGUAACCGGAGAAGAAGCCCCGGCUAACUUCGUGCCAGCCGCCGCGGUAAAAC
rnacentral:rRNA from 1 species